CCUACGGGGGGCAGCAGUCGAGAAUAAUUCACAAUGGGGGAAACCCUGAUGGUGCAACGCCGCGUGGAGGAUGACGGUCUUCGGAUUGUAAACUCCUGUCAUCUGGGAGUAAGACCUGGCGGUCAAUAGCCGACAGGGUUGAUAGUACCAGAAGAGGAAGGGACGGCUAACUUCGUGCCAGCAGCCGCGGUAAUACGAAGGUCCCAAGCGUUGUUCGGAAUCACUGGGCGUAAAGGGAGCGUAGGCGGCGUGGUAAGUCAGAUGUGAAAUCCCGGGGCUCAACCCCGGAACUGCAUCCGAUACUGCCAUGCUAGAGGAUUGGAGAGGUAGCUGGAAUU
rnacentral:rRNA from 1 species